GGAGGCGUGUCCCACUGCAGAUAAGUCAGGAGUGGAGUACUUGCAUCAUUUGAUAGGUUCUACUUACAACCGCCUGGCCACCACUUGUAGGAUGAUAUUUUGGUCCCCGCAAAUAGGUGCCAUGUCCCAGCUCCGUCUGGGCAUAGGUGGCGGUCACUUCGAAGCGUUCCACACGUUUACCGAACUCCUCCCACUGCUCGGGUGUGCACUGUGACUUCAAGGCUCUCACCAACAUGACGUACAUGACGCCAAAGGGAUUUCCCGCCAAAUGCACUCCCCACAGUUCGGGCGCCUCAAAGAGAGUGCUGAGGAAUGUCAGAUUACGGUUUAAGAGUGAGAGAAAGAGAGACAGUUACAACGCAAAAGCUUUUGCGUGUUCACUCACGGCCAGUAAUCGACGCCACCUGGAUUCCGCUCCGCUUGCAACUGACGGAGCUUUUUGGCCACCUUAAUGCUGUUUUGAAUACCAAAUUCACUGAUCUCUUGGUGCGACUUGUAAUGCAAGUGAAUGAAGUCAUCUUUGUCAAAGUCCUUGUACAUGUAUUCCUCUGUGGGAGGGCAAAAAAGUGCACAGUCAGCAUGAUAUUGAAUCUGAUCAAAGUAAUUAUGAUGUUUUAAAGAUUGGCGUUCAACUUUGCUCGCAUAUUUAAGAUAACAAAUCAAAUCACUUACUGAUACCCCGCUUAAAUUUCAGUUCAUCUGCACCGCCCGCCCACCAAGUGGCAAAUUCUUCGCUGUUGAAACUCGCAGAAUCGCGUUCUUUCUGCAAAUCGGGAUUAACCGUGUUGGGUAUAAUACUCUGCGACGACAUAUUUAAACUUUUCAUUUGUAGCAAACUGUUGCUCUAGUUGCAUCCACUCUCCACCUGCUACAGCUUACAACUGAAGUGGCCUCAAAAUAAACAGCAAAUAAAAAUAA